AAAACUCUGCAACAUGAGACAUUGCAGCCGUGUAGGUCAGCACAUGGAAUAUGCUGACAAUUUCACACCAUAGAAUAAUAACGAAAAUACUAUCUCUAUAUGCAAAUGUAGCUUGGUAGAGGUUUUAAGGUUAAUUCUGCAUAAAGCUAAUUUUUUUUCCUACGACAAAGGAUGAUUUUCUUUUAUUUCUACUAAAUUAAAAUGCCAUUAUUGAGAAGGUUCCUCCAACUCAAUACCAAAAUUCCCAAGUUAUUAGUAACCCAAUAAUCUACUACCACUAUAAAAGGAAGAGAGGAGCAGAUCCAAACAAUCAGAUCCAUCCAUCUACAAGAUCUAAUGGCUCAUAAUCCUUCGAUGUUUAACGCUGCAAGCCACGGGUUAAUCAACUAAUCCAUCCAUCGCUAACCCACCCCGCCGUUCGCAAAAAGAAACCGCUGCGCAGUGUGCGCACCACGCCCGCACGACUUCCGCCCGCUCGCCCCGCCAAAAGAAAAAAAAAGGACUUCCGUCCGCUCCUCCUCAUCCAUGCCCGCACACCAGCCGUUCCCCACAGCACGGGCGGGCCGCCCAUCCUCCCGCCGCCUCCCGCCGUUCGCCGCCCGCAUCAUCCUCCUCUCAGCUUGGCCUCCCCCCAUCCUCACGUCGUUCGCUAGCCGCCCUCCCGCCAUACGCCGCCCGCGCCAUAUGCCGUUCGCUAGAGAUGCGGGCGGGCGGUUGGGCUGGCGAGCGGUGGCAGGUUCGUCGCGCGACAGGUCGCCUGGGAUGCUAGCCGAUGGAUGCGGGUCAAGCCGACUCGGGCGGCGGCGCAUCUUCGGGAGAGGAGAGGGGAAAAGAAGGAGAGUCCUGGCGGCGGCUGAGGAGGUGCUCGCCGGCGAGCGGGCUCCGACGGCCGCCUGGCGCGCGGGGUUGGAUGGGGGCAUGCAGGAAGAGUGUAUAUGUACUGAUUCCCUGCAGGAAGAGGACAUGCUGUUGGAUCCGAGCACCUGUCGGAGGAGCAUAGGCAUAAGGAGGCAUCCAUGAGACAAGUUUUUUUUUUAAUUCGUAUUUCUAUGUCUGCAUGAUGACAUUAGUUAACUGGUAAUAGUAAGUCACUGCCAUACAUCACUGAUGAAACAGUUGUUUUUUCCCAUUUAGCAAAGAAAUUAUGAUCUGUUCCUCUACCAAUAAUUGUAAAUUAGUCAUGACACCCAGUCUAGCACCUGUCAUGUUGUUUGAUUUGUCUCUCUAUAUAUAUGUUCUCAUGAGUGGUCAUAGUUUUACAUGACGAUUUCCAGAAUACGAAUACACUGAAAGUUAAUUUGAUUUUCAUAAAUGUGUCCAAUUUUGGUUGUAUAAAUUAAUUUUUAAUUUGGCAUCCCAUUCCAUGCCAAGAAUCAAAUGACAAGCUGAAUUUGUUCCUAUGUAACGGGGUUCAGUAGCUUCCCUCUCCUGAAUUAUUCUUGUUGUAAUUUCAUGGUUAUGCAAUUAUCAAUCUUCUCUUACUCAUUUCACGUGUCCAUAGUUAGCCAGGCAACUGAAGGUGGGUCAUGUAUUUUAGCACAGGUUCGAUGUGGCGGUUGUUAACUUAUUCCAACUGUGAAGAAUGGUAGUUGUUGCCGGAUGAAUUUCUAGUCUCGCACCUCCUUAUUUCUGGUCUUGCACCAUGGACGGCCUGAACGGCGCUGACGCGUGCUUCUCCGGAGGAGGGCCAUGUGACGGCCAGACCGGCAGACAUAGCCAGGAUAUGCGGUACAAGGGAUUCGAGGCAAAUUGAGUUAGGAGCUGGAGCAGGUGGUGGAUUAAGGAAAGAGCUGAAGCAGAGACAGAUUAGAGCUGCUUAAGUGCAGAUUUUUAGACUAGCCUGCUUAAGUACAUGUUCUUAGAUUGCAUAUGGAAGGGAACUUACGUGCAUGUUGUUUGGAUUGCAGGAUGGAAGGGAACUUAAGUGCAUGUUUUCGGAUUGUACAUGAACUAAGUUCCUGCUGAAAAAUGGUGACUGCAUUUAGAGCUGGCAUUGGUGCUUGGUCAGACAUGGUGUCUUUGUAACUACACUAAGUUCCCUGGUUCUUGCUUAAAAAUGUUUACAAGAUAACAUUUCUAAACAUGAUCUAGAAGCCCUCAAACCAGCUCGGUACAUUGGAAUAAAAAGAAUGACAAGGCAGUUAGAAGUUCAGAAUUCUAUAUAGGAUAUAUAUACUUGGUUGUACCAUAUUUAGCUGAACUAAAGUAGAUGCUCUAACUGUGUUCACAUGAUUUUGAACAGGCCCAUGGAGAGAAGCCCUAAUGUACACCCAAGGUCCAGGGAGGUGAUCUUUCCAAGAAGGUUAGAAGGUUAGUUGCUUGUGCAAUUCAGUUCAAAUGUAGCUUGUUGCUGGAAGGAGUAGAGUUUGAUUAGAUCGGAUCAACGUUAUUUGGUAUUUUGGUAGUGGUUAAGUAUGGGAUAUGCACCUGCCAUUUUUCUAUGCAUAUUGUUCUGUCCAUGUAUGUUGCAUCCUUUUGACUUAUGUAUGAUGUGUUCAAUGAUGUCAUUGGUGACUCAUGUGAAGUUGCUUUGUUUGAUUCAAGUGCAAUUAGACCGUGGCAGCCAUGCGGAAUAUAUGCAUGAAGCCGUGAGCAGUGAGCAGCUUACCUAUUUAUUAUUGUUGGCCUUUUCAGUUGGAUUUAGUAUAGCUGGAUUACCUGCUUCUCAGAUGACGAACAGAGACUAACAUUAUCUCUUUAUUCUUGCAUCUUAUACCCUCAGCUUGAGAAAAACAAACCUUAUCAUUUCCAUUUGUAGAAUUAAUAUCAUAUUUGAGGGAUCAGUUGGCACUGAUGCCUAAAAUGUGUUUUUUUUUCGCAUGCUUAAUUGUACACAGCUAGAUAGACAUGCAUAAGUAUUUAGGUUGAUGCACAAGUCAAUUUACAGUAGGAUUAUGAGGACAAUCAACUGAGCUCCAACAACUUAUCUGCUAUUUUCUUUCUUAACCAUCAGACCAAAUAGUUAUGUUUGUUGAGUUUAUGUAAACAAUCAUAGUUGAGACCUUUUAAAGCAAAGCAAUCUGUAGGACUUGUAGUGAAAGCAAGGCUUAUCAUUCAGGUUACUUGUUGUGACCUGUGACAGAAAAGCAAUAUUUAGAACUUCUGUUUGCCUGAUCCCUAUGCCUUUUCUAUAUAUAGUGUCCCAGUCCCAUCUAGGUUAACUGUUGGGAUGGAAUCUUUCAAGGCUGGUGUAGUCUGGUCGAUCUUAUCAAUGUAUGAGGGAAAGUCUGCAUUCCAGAUCAAUGUAGAUGUCAAGCUGGAAUAAAAACAUUCAAUAGCUUCUCAGUAUGGACAUUGUUCUACUGAUUUCAUUACUUCGCCAUGGUUUUAGCCUGUCACAUAUGGAGAAUCAUCAUCCAGCUACAUCUCCCUUAGAAUCAGGGAAACGUUCCCCAUUUAAAGACCAAACAUGCAUAAUCUAUUUAGAGUUUCAGUUCGUUUUUUGUCUGACAUCUCUGUUGCCUCUGUUAUAUUACUAAAUUGCUAUUAAAACAAGGAAGAAUGGCCUGAUGUUUCCUUUGAAUCUGAUUGUCGGGUACUGGUGGAGAUGUGAAACUCAAGAAAACAUAAUAGAUGGAGAUUAUCGGCUUCCUGUCAGAAAUUGAGUUGAGCCAAGCUUUUUGUUCUUUUACUCUGUCUUUUCUUCUUAGAGAGGUUAAUUUUUAACACACCUGUGUACAAACCUGCCCCUGCAGGUUAGUGACCGGAGACUAUGUCGUAAAUUGUAAUGCUACACCUUCAGAAUAGAGCUAGCUCAUUUGAUUGUCAAAAGUGGAUUGUUUCGUGUUAAGAUUUUACUUCAGAAUAUUGGUUCAAUACCAUUUUUUUUAUGUGAGAUAUUUGUUUUAUAUUUUAGUAGUCGUUCAAGUGUGAGUUAUGUUUAUCUGUAACAUGUAAUUGACUGUCGUUCAAGGCCAUUUGCAGGUUUAUAUAAGCAUUUGGUUAGCAACCUCAUAUUAUAUAGUAUCUGUAGACUUAACUA